UACGUAGGGGGCUAGCGUUGUCCGGAAUCAUUGGGCGUAAAGCGCGCGUAGGCGGCCCGGUAAGUCCGCUCUGAAAGUCCAGGGCUCAACCCUGGAAUGCGGGUGGAUACUGCCGGGCUCGAGUCCGGAAGAGGCGAGUGGAAUUCCUGGUGUAGCGGUGGAAUGCGUAGAUAUCAGAAGGAACAUCAGUGGCGAAGGCGGCUUUCUGGACCAAUACUGACGAUCAGGUGCGAAAGCGUGGGGAGCAAACAGG
rnacentral:rRNA from 1 species